UUCUUUCACAUCAUUUAAUUUUUUUCAAAAAUGUAAGUGUAUAAAUCUACAUAUAUAUAUGGAUGUAUUUUUAAUGAGUAUUAUUUAUGAAUAGAUAAUAAUAAGAAAAUUUGAACAUUUUAUGAUUAAUUUUCUAUCUAACUAGAAAAAAUUAUUAUUUUUACAUUAUAUGGGUUGAAGUUAUUCUAUUGGCUAAAAAAAUUGAAAAAAAAAAGUCUUCCAACAAAAAAAAAAUAUAUAAAAAAUGACUUAAAUAUUAUGUAUAUAAACAUAUUUUUAAUAUUUUUAAUAUAAUGUACAAAAAUAUAUUUUUUGAUCUGAUUCUUUUAAUUAAGUAAAAUAAGAUGUAAUGAUUUAAUAUUUUUAAAAUUAAUAUUUAGAGAAAAUUAUAGAAUAAGUCUCUAAAAACUUAUGUUUGAUGCAGAUAAAUUAUAAACCUCGAAAAUUGAUAGUAAUAGUCCCCAAUGUCAUUAUUUAUGUAUGUCCAUUGGUACCCAAUUUAACAAAUCUAUCAAGUGCUUACAAUAAUGCCACAUGUUGAAAAUUUAUUGAUCCAAAUCAUAAUUUCAAUUAAAAAAUAAUUUAAAUGAUAAAAAUUAUUAAAAAAUAAAUAAUAAAAACUUUAAUAUAUUCUUUUUAUUUUUAUUUUGUUUUUUGUUUUUAUUGUUUUUCUUUCCAUUCUUCUUCUUCUUCUUCUUCGUGGAACAUCUUAUCCCGAUCUGCUCAACCACCUUUUUUUUUCGCAAGCUUUCUGUUCCUUCUCCGCCUUCCACCACCACCCAUUUGUUUCUUCAUCGUGGAGCACAGACCCAUCUUCUUCGUUGAUCACAGACCACACUUGCCUAAAAAAUAUACCCAUACCACGCUUUGAUCUUGGGACCUCACCGUCAUCCCGAGCCCAUUUCAAGUGAGCCAAUCGGUCCCCAACGGUGCGCAUCAGUCCCUGAAGGUGAGUAGAUCGACAUUUGAAACCCAAAUUCCUUUUAGCCUCUCUCCUAGUGUGUUCAAAACUUCUAAGAAGAUAAUUGGAUGGAGUAGAAGAAGAAAACGAAGAUUUCAGUUCGGGUGUGGCUGGAUGAAGAAGACGUCAACAAUAGAUGACGACUGAAGUAGUGGAUCUCCGAAUAGCUCGGAGGUUGGGUGUGGCUGGGGAUGAGGGUGGGGUGAGGGUCGGGGUGGUAGCUUGGUGAAGAAGACAAAGAGGAAAAUAACAAAAAAAAUGAUAAAUUAUAUGAUUUUAAAAUAUAUUUUUUUUAGUUUUUUUUUAAAUUAUUUUUAAUUAAAAUUAUGAUUUGUACCAAUAAACAACAUGUAACAUGUGGUAUAUCACUCUCUAAAAAAAAACAUACAUGUGGCAUUUUAUUACUAUUUAA